rnacentral:lncRNA from 1 species
UGUUGAGCGAGUAUUGUUGAAACUCACGGCCGUGAAUGAUGACGAUUUCUUGCAGAGCGCUGUUGAGCGAAGUCGUGCCCACAUUUGGGUUACUAUAUUCAUAGUUAACUGCUGAGUGAGACGUGUCGACAAUGCUUGUCGUGAAUCUGUCAAAUCGAUCUGACUGUGGUAGUCAGAAUGCGACGAACAGGCUGGCUAUGGUUAUCGAUGGAGCAAUAAACCCCCUUAAAUACGAGACUGGGCAGCAACCGAGACGCGAGCCUAAGCAGAGUCUUAGUUCGUUGGCACAACCAAUAUUCAGUCAGGGCACACUUGAACCCCUGGGAUAGUUACCGAGAAAAUCGGGUAUGGUCCUGGCCG